ensembl:lncRNA
UUUUUUUUUUUUUUUUUUUUUACGAGCCAAUAAAACGGAGUAUCUGCUCCUCGGGCAGUAAUUCCUGAUUUUGAAUUGGAGGAGGAGGGGGAGGUCGGGGGGAAACCAACUUUGCAUUCCAUCCAUCCCAUCCCUCCAGCCCUCUUCUCCCGCUUUCACCUCCCUCGGGUUCAGAGCGUGGCAAAGUCCCGAGGCAGGGCUAGUUUAUAACAACUGUUAUAAAGAUUAAAAAGUGGAAAGAAGGGAAUAAAGGCUCGUGCGGGCAAGUCCAUGAUCUUCUAUUUUUCUCCAUUGCUGCGGAUGGGGAGCCGCGCACGCCGCGGAGGGGAGCCCCGGGGAGCAGCGCCCGGCGGGGCGGGGGGAGCACUGCGGGUGCCUUUGGGAUGCUGGCACCUGCACGAGGUGCCCCGCAGAGGCGAGGGGUGUCCUUCCCACCGGGAGCUGAGAAGCGGUGCCCGGGCGGCGGCAGGAAACUCCCGGAGCACUCCGCACUGCCGCGGGACCGCCGGGCUGCAGCAGCGAGACCGAGUGUGGGAUGGAUGGAUGGAUGGAUGGAUGGAUGGAUGGAUGGAUGGAUGGAUGGAUGGAUGGAUGGAUGGCAGGCAGCUCCUGGCCCUGCAGGGACCAAGACUGUCCCGUGACUUCCUGGGCUGCUGCCAAGAGCCCUGGACACAGAGAAGAAAGGGAAUGGGGGGAAAGGAAGAGGAAGGAAGGCAGAAGGAGGAAGAGGUGAUUUAAUCACAUUCAUUACUCUGCCACAAAAACGGUCUCCUCUAGUCACCUUCAGGCCCACAGUAUCCCUUCAGUCAGGACCAGGGUGCCCAUGGAAAGGCCACCUGCAGGGUGGUACACACACACACACACACACACACUCCAGCAUGGCACCAACGGUGCCUGCAAGGGGCAGCACAGAAAUCAGAAAUUCAUGCUCUCCAUUUCCAUGACAACUGCCCUUCCCCUCAUCAUUCCCCUGUGGUCCUGUCCUCGUGGUGCUCCUCAAAACUCCCUUUGCCUCCCAGCACUGGGGGUCCCUCAGUGGGAACACAAUGGGGACUUUCCUGCUCACACUGGGGUGCAGGGCAUGGGAUGCACAGUGGAAAUGUCCUGCAUGUGCCCCCGCAGCAAGCAGGGGAGAGAUCACUUUGUUUAGGGUUAUUGCUUCCCCAAUUAAUUCUGAAGCUCAAAGCCAGUACCAUAAGGUGAUGCUCAGAAUGAUGUCUUCAGAAGCGCAAGAGACCCUGUUUCUAAAGCUGUUGUAGGUACCCACUGCCUGCUGGCAUCAUUUGAAACUGAUCAUCCUGAUGAGAAUGAGGAGUAAGAAAUGCCUAUGCUACCUCCUUGGGCCUCUGUAAUUUACAAUGUGACUCCAUGUAGCUUUGGAUCUUAUGUUUAGAAUUUUAUUCCUACUUCUUCUAGUGCUGCUAGCGUUAUUAAAGCAGUGCUAUCGAGCACAAACACCAGUUAAGAAUUUUCUGAACUGAAGCUUGCUGAAGGUAAAAGCCUUGUCUCUGUGUGACACAUGUCUGCAAUAACCUAGAUUUUAUGGCAGGUGUUCAUGCUGCUGGGUAGACCUAGUCUAGGCUUCUAGAUUCCUGACUUCCUUCCUGGCUGCUUUUGCAGUAGCCCCUAAUAUAUUAAGUAGUGUUUGUGCUUGUCUGUUACUCUAUGGGAUGCCUCUGGAAGGGCUUAUUUUUACUCUCCAUAUCCUGCUCUUCCUAAAACUGUAGCUCAGAUACAAUCAGUAGUGCAAGUAUCUCUGCACAAAUCUGACCAUCACUGACAGCCCUGCCUCCAGACCGGUCACCACGAGACCUCUGCUUGUACAAUACAGAAUUAAAUACUUGCAAAAUGAAAGGGAAACCAGUGGCAGUUGACAUGAAAGGGCUGUCUGAUUGCAUCUUUGGUAUUACUGAGUGAGAGCACAGGCCAGGGGAAAAAAUCACUUCCACCCUCUUCAAUCAUCAGCAUGGGUCACCAGCAAAGAGUUUGUGUUUCACUGUAAACUACUGGAGGAAGGUCCCCCAGGUCUGUGGUACUUGUUGGGAGUGCAGGGAAGAGCCGUGGUCUCUGCCCAUGCGAUGCCUCAAGAGGAGCUCGCCCUGCAGAGGCUGCCCAUUCCUGCCUGCCCUGUGUGACUUCUGGGGCACUUGGGAAAGCUACCUGCUCAUUUGAAAGCAGUCAGGCACUUUCAACUCCACGUCAUGACUCUGCUCAGAGACCACUUAAAAUAUGUAAUAGGGAGAGACAUCUGUUGCUUUCUUUUCAAUCAGUUUUGAAAAAAAAACAUUUCUCCUGAAAGAAAAGACCAGUCCUGUGCUAAUGGCAAACCCUCUGUUGGUGCAGUUCUAAGGUUUUGCAAGGAGUUGCAAAAUCCACACUCAAGCUGGGUUAACUUACUUCACUUUAUGGACUAGUUGGUGUCUAACACUUCAUUGAAUAUUAAAAAUAUGCCAUAAUUUACAGAAAAAAAGCACACAGUAAGUUCAGUAAUAAAAGGUAAAUAUGUCUCCACAUGGUGGCUAUAUUAGGAAUUCUUUCUUUAAUGUUUAACAAGCAUUUUUUAAAGUGUGUAUGUGAGGGAGAUGUGUACAGAACGCAUUUACUGACAAAGCCAAAGGAAAUCAGUGUGUCUUUGUGCCUAGGUUUUCCUAAAGCAUGCAUGUUCCUGAGUAUAGGCAGACAGAGAAAGUUGGAAGGCUGUCCCAUUUCAUGUGGAGGGAAGAUGUAAAGACCUGUGCUUGGUUCCUGGCCUUGCUCCCCCAUCACAGACAUCAGUUUGUGUCGAAUUUACCAAAAAAACCCUGCUGCUGUAACACUCCAUUUGAGAGGCGGGGGGGAGAGGAUAAUAAACUUUUUUUUUUAAUUGCUUCCCUGGCUAUAAAUUAGCAUGCAUUGGGCUAAUUUUUUUUCCAUGAACAAAAGCACAAUUGACUACAAUUGCCUAUGCAAGGCUUAAGCAAAAGUAGGAAAGGAGUUCUGAGCCUCAAGGCUCCCCUGCGUAUUGAACCUGAGCAGGGGGAGGUCUUGUCUGUGCCCAGAAGUUGAAGGGCACUGAGAGCUACAACAAAACAAUAGGGAUUUUUAUGUUUCACUGACUGUUUUUGCAGCUGCAUCUUCCCCCCCUCCUCCUCUUCCCCCAUUAUUUCAUAUGAGAACCAAGUAUGGAAAUAGAAGCCAUGGCUUUCCCUCCGGAUACAGUCAGCAUGCAUAAAACCAGGGCAGACAUCAGCAGAGAGCUACGGUUAGUUAUAAUUCAGCAUUAUGGACAAAAGCAGAAAUUUUUGGGUUUUUUUGUGUAGAAGUUUUUUGCUUCUACACCAUAUUUCACAUCUGUUACCACAGAAAUAAACGCAGGGCUGAAGCCCAACUGCAUUGUGAGUUCAAUGAGAUCCUCUUUGCAUCACUGGGGUUCCUGAUGGCAUUUGAAGAUAAGUUGGCAGAACCCAAUGAGUUCGGCUUUUACAGGUCCCCUUCCAUGCUUUCCUCCCAUUCAGUCCUAGAAUACCUGGCAAACCAUCUUUUCCCAUGGCAAAAGCUCAUCUGAGGUGAUUUUUGUCUGGAGUUGUCUGUGGAAGCCCUUAUGCUACUUCUCUGGUGCAUCCAGUUAGCAGCCUGACCAAAAACCAACUCCAAUUAAAAGUAGAUGGGCAUGUAAAACAACUUGCAAAGCUGAUGUUAACAGAGAUGUGGCCAAAGAGGUGGGGGAAUUAUUGGUAGAGAGUGGCUGAGAAAGGGCUGAGGAAUGAGGGUAGAGAGGACAGAUGCAUGCCUAUUCCCACAUACCCUGCAGCGGAGUCACUUCUCAGCAUCCAUGAGCAUCUUCACUAUUUGUAAAACAAGAAAGAACCCAAUGGAAGACCAGUUGCACAAUGAGACGAGUUAGUAAAGAAAAAGGAUGAUGUUUCACUAGAAAAGGCAGGUAAGGUAAGGAUUUGCCACAGUCUUCAUGAGGGGGUAGACUAGGUGUCUACCUGAGGUGGUUUCUAUACUGAAUUUUUUAUACUGUAGCAAAUUUUUUAUGCUAUAAAAUGUACUGGGAUGGAACAAAAACAAGAGGAUAAAGAGGAAUCUUUAAAAAUUAACAAGGGAGGAAUAGGAAAUUUACUUUCUCACCCCUGUAUUUUUCAAGCUGUUCUUGCAUCUUAGUUUGCUGCCUAGAUAGCUACACUAAUGAACAGCUUCUCCAUUUGAAAUUUUUUUUCUUUCUUUCUUUCUCUCUUUUGCUCUUUCUUUCUACCUACAACACUACUAUUUAGUGAGAUAAAGAAGUCUCUGUAUUUUUGCAUGGGACCUCCCUGAUUUAUUCUAUGUGUUCAUCUUAACUGAGAGCACCUUUGCUUCAGGGCAAAGUGGUGGUGGGCUGGAAAACCCAAAUUAUGGUCUUCUGAAAGGCAGGUAUGCUGCCUCAUCCGCUAUGCGUUCAACUGCAGAAAUAUCUGUCUCCUGAGGUACCUCCCCAUUUCAUUCAUAAGGAGCCAUGUGUGAAGGCCCUUCUCACAUGAGUGUGUCAAGCCUCCCACCACCCAGAAAUCUGAGUAGAUGCUGAAGGUGUGACCAGGCAGUUGUGACUUCCAAGGUUGGUUUUCUGUCAGGUACUGACUGCAUUUCAUGUAUCAGUGACACAGCAGUGACUCCAGAGCACCAAGUCUUUCAAGUUAAAGCACAUUCCUACUGCUGGUCAGGUUCUGAAAGUGUCUAUGUACUUUAAAAUGUGAGGUGUUUUAGUUUGCAUCUUAUUUUAAAACAAUUUUACCCCAGAGGUAAGUAAUUAUUUUCUUUUUGUGUUAUAGAAUGGAACAUUUGCAAAAAUCAUUACAACCCUCAUAUUUGAAUCAGUUUCAGACUAAUGUCCAGUUAUCCAAAGUUGCCAGGUUUUUUUUUUUGGCAUUAUUUUGGGUGAUUUUAAAGUUGAUGUGUUCUUCACUGUUGCCUUUAGAAUUAUAUAAAGCAUAUUGUUUAUAGAGUUGUGAAAAUGCUUUAAAAGCUGCAAUCGUCCAAAUUGAAAUUUAUUUCAUCCGAGAAAUGUCCUGAACAUCCGGGUGGUAAUAAACAUUUUUCA